AGAGUUUGAUCCUGGCUCAGGGUGAAUGCUGGCGGCGUGGAUGAGGCAUGCAAGUCGAGUGGGUUUAGACCCACGGCAGACGAGGUAGGAACACGUAGGUACGUACCCCAAAGUCAGGGAUAACCCGGCGAAAGUCGGAGUAAUACUUGAUGGUCUCGAAAGAGUAAAGAUUUAUCGCUUUGGGAACGGCCUGCGGUCUAUCAGCUUGUUGGUAAGGUAACGGCUUACCAAGGCUAUGACGGAUAGGGGAGGUGAGAGCCUGACCCCCACCGAUGGAACUGCGACACGGUCCAUACUCCUACGGGAGGCCGCAGUCGAGAAUCUUCCGCAAUGGACGAAAGUCUGACGGAGCGACGCCGCGUGGUGGAUGAAGUCCCUAGGGACGUAAACACCUUUUAUGAGGGAGGAAGUUUAUUGGCGUACCUCAGAAUAAA
rnacentral:rRNA from 1 species